rnacentral:misc_RNA from 1 species
AACAAGGCGUACCUGCGGACCUGCGGAAGGAUCAUUAAAAAGAGUGUGUACCCCUCUGUAAAAUGAGUGGGUUACCUCCCGUCCUCUGUUGACCUCUUAGGAGGUUAUUUUGAACUUUCUGCUUCGGUGGGGUUAAACCUACCGGAACACCCUCAAAUUCUUAUCAUUUAAAAAUUGUUCAGUCUGAUUUUUGUUAAUAAAAACAAAAAACUUUUAACAACGGAUCUCAGAUCGGAAGAG